UACGGAGGGUGCAAGCGUUAUCCGGAUUCACUGGGUUUAAAGGGUGCGUAGGUGGGCAGGUAAGUCCGUGGUGAAAUCUCUGAGCUUAACUCAGAAACUGCCGUGGAUACUAUCUGUCUUGAAUAUUGUGGAGGUAAGCGGAAUAUGUCAUGUAGCGGUGAAAUGCUUAGAUAUUGGGAGGAACAUCGGUGGCGAAGGCGGCUACCUGGACGGGUACUGACGCUGAUGCGCGAAAGCUAGGGGAGCAAACAGG
rnacentral:rRNA from 1 species